AUUGAACGCUGGCGGCAGGCCUAACACAUGCAAGUCGAGCGGAUGAAGGGAGCUUGCUCCUGGAUUCAGCGGCGGACGGGUUAGUAAUGCCUAGGAAUCUGCCUGGUAGUGGGGGAUAACGUCCGGAAACGGGCGCUAAUACCGCAUACGUCCUGAGGGAGAAAGUGGGGGAUCUUCGGACCUCACGCUAUCAGAUGAGCCUAGGUCGGAUUAGCUAGUUGGUGGGGUAAAGGCCUACCAAGGCGACGAUCCGUAACUGGUCUGAGAGGAUGAUCAGUCACACUGGAACUGAGACACGGUCCAGACUCCUACGGGAGGCAGCAGUGGGGAAUAUUGGACAAUGGGCGAAAGCCUGAUCCAGCCAUGCCGCGUGUGUGAAGAAGGUCUUCGGAUUGUAAAGCACUUUAAGUUGGGAGGAAGGGCAGUAAGUUAAUACCUUGCUGUUUUGACGUUACCAACAGAAUAAGCACCGGCUAACUUCGUG
rnacentral:rRNA from 1 species